UACGGAGGGUGCAAGCGUUAAUCGGAAUCACUGGGCGUAAAGCGCGCGUAGGCGGUCUUUUAAGUCGGACGUGAAAGCCCUCGGCUCAACCGGGGAACUGCGUUCGAAACUGGGAGACUUGAGUCCUGGAGAGGGUGGCGGAAUUCCGGGUGUAGGAGUGAAAUCCGUAGAUAUCCGGAGGAACACCGGUGGCGAAGGCGGCCACCUGGACAGGUACUGACGCUGAGGCGCGAAAGCGUGGGGAGCAAACAGGAUUAGAUACCCUGGUAGUCCACGCUGUAAACGAUGGAUGCUAGGUGUCGGGGAGCGAUCUUCGGUGCCGCAGUUAACGCAUUAAGCAUCCCGCCUGGGGAGUACGGUCGCAAGGCUGAA
rnacentral:rRNA from 1 species